CAAGAAGUUUCCCGAUUUCUACCUUCCAUCUUCGCCACAACAAGUCACUCUAGACUCUAGCUCUCUGUCUGUUGCGAUUGUUUCAAAAUGCAUAGCAAUGGAGCUCCAUCCGAGUUUCUGCUUUUUGAGAGGAGCAUCGAUUACUUCAAAAAGACGUUUCUGUCAGGAUACAUUGUCAUAUGAAGCCAUUAAACCAUGAAUUUUCAUCUUCAUACCUUCCUGCUUAAAGAAUUGGAUUUCUGGCCAUAACUAGAGGAGAGUGUGAGAGGAAGUCGGACUUUGGAUAUCAGCGAUUUGUUCUCUGACUGAAAGAAGCCUGCUGUUCCAUGAAGAUGCUGCCUUUUGGCAUGUUACAGGAGGAAGAAACAAACUAUCACCCACCAAAGAAAACAGCUAUUCAGAUAAGGCAUGGGGAUUUUUGUGAGCAGAUAAAGCUUGGAAUUCAAUUUGAGACCGCGUGGAUACUGAUUUUGGUAUGAUUUUAUACUCAAAAACACUAGAGCAAUUGAAAAACUAUAGUAUGUUUGAAAGAUAUUAGUUGAGAUCACUGGUGGACGUGCAGAGAGGUUUUAAAAAACAAAAUCUGAACAUUCAUAAAGCAAUUAAUCACUUUAUUCAACUUUCCAAAAGGCAGAAGGAAAUGUUGCGCGAAGGGAGAGAAACCUUUUAAAAAUAUAUAAAAAGACUAGCGGGUAAAAGAAGUUUUUACCACUCGUACCUUUUUUGUCUACUUUUUCAUUGAAAAAAAAAGAGAGGUACCAUGCAGUGAAUUUAAUUGACAUUGCUAAUUGAUCUUCUUGGUUUUCAAAUUGGCUAAACCAUACUUUAUACCUUUAAAGUUACACGUUUUUCUCGUUUCUGUCUUUAAAAUUUAAAAUUUACCCUAAAUACCCUUAAUGUUACAGAAACAUAUCCAAAUCUAUCCUCAUUUCACUGUGCCGACAAGGGAGAGUUGGAAAUUGCACGUGUCAACCGGAGUUACACUGUGGCAGAACUCUCUAGUUUUUCUAAUUUGAUACUCAGACCUUUAAUCAAAUAUGAAUUACUUAAUCCCUUAAUAAACUAAAGGACAAGACAUAGGAUGAAUUUUGAUUUGCUCAGGGGGUUUGAUCGUCGAAUUAAGAAACCGAAGGGAUAAAUUGGCAAAAGCAAUAACAUUCAGAGGGUGUCUGCGAAUUUUACCAAAAGCCAUCUUUUUCAUGGUAAACAAAAUCAAAUCAUCUUUAGAUCUUUUUGGGGAAUAGAUUCGAGAUUUUGUUGUUGGUCAUGCUCUAACAAUACCAUCAUUAGUAGGUCAAUUUUCCAAAGCAAGAUGGGAAUUGGCAAGGGGAGAAUUGCAAGUAUCCCUCAUUUUACGUUAUAUUUGUUUCGAUUUCGCAAGCACUCCAGCUAGA